rfam:Fistulina hepatica ATCC 64428 unplaced genomic scaffold FISHEscaffold_536, whole genome shotgun sequence.
UCCGAUAUGGUGUAACGGCUAACAUUGCCGCUUUUCACGCGGCAGCUCGGGGUUCGAUUCCCCGUAUCGGAA